rnacentral:rRNA from 1 species
AGAGUUUGAUCCUGGCUCAGGAUGAACGCUGGCGGCGUGCCUAAUACAUGCAAGUCGAACGCGGGCACUUGUGCCCGAGUGGCGAACGGGUGAGUAAUACAUAAGUAACCUGGCCUUUACAGGGGGAUAACUGCUGGAAACGGCAGCUAAUACCGCAUAGGUAGGGACACUGCAUGGUGACCGUAUUAAAAGUGCUGCAAGGCACUGGUAGAGGAUGGACUUAUGGCGCAUUAGCUGGUUGGUGAGGUAACGGCUCACCAAGGCGACGAUGCGUAGCCGACCUGAGAGGGUGACCGGCCACACUGGGACUGAGACACGGCCCAGACUCCUACGGGAGGCAGCAGUAGGGAAUUUCCGGCAAUGGGGGGAACCCUGACCGAGCAACGCCGCGUGAAGGAAGAAGGAAUUCGUUCUGUAAACUUCUGUUAUAAAGGAAGAAAGACGGAUGGAGGAAAUGACAUCCGAGUGACGGUACUUUAUGAGAAAGCCACGGCUAACUACGUGCCAGCAGCCGCGGUAAUACGUAGGUGGCAAGCGUUAUCCGGAAUUAUUGGGCGUAAAGAGGGAGCAGGCGGCAGCAAAGGUCUGUGGUGAAAGACUGAAGCUUAACUUCAGUAAGCCAUAGAAACCGGGCAGCUAGAGUGCAGGAGAGGAUCGUGGAAUUCCAUGUGUAGCGGUGAAAUGCGUAGAUAUAUGGAGGAACACCAGGUGGCGAGAGGCGACGGAUCUGGACCUGCAACUGACGCUCAGUCCCGAAAGCGUGGGGAGCAAAGAGGAUUAGAUACCCUAGUAGUCCACGCCGUAAACGAUGAGUACUAAGUGUCUGGAAGUCAAAUUUCAGUGCUGCAGUUAACGCAGUAAGUACUCCGCCUGAGUAGUACGUUCGCAAGAAUGAAACUCAAAGGAAUUGACGGGGGCCCGCACAAGCGGUGGAGCAUGUGGUUUAAUUCGAAGCAACGCGAAGAACCUUACCAGGUCUUGACAUACUCAUAAAGGAUCCAGAGAUGGAUAGAUAGUUAUAUGAGAUACAGGUGGUGCAUGGUUGUCGCCAGCUCGUGUCGUGAGAUGUUGGGUUAAGUCCCGCAACGAGCGCAACCCUUGUCGUUAGUUACCAUCAUUAAGUUGGGGACUCUAGCGAGACUGCCAGUGACAAGCUGGAGGAAGGCGGGGAUGACGUCAAAUCAUCAUGCCCCUUAUGACCUGGGCUACACACGUGCUACAAUGGAUGGUGCAGAGGGAAGCGAAGCCGCGAGGCGAAGCAAAACCCAUAAAACCAUUCUCAGUUCGGAUUGUAGUCUGCAACUCGACUACAUGAAGUUGGAAUCGCUAGUAAUCGCGAAUCAGCAUGUCGCGGUGAAUACGUUCUCGGCCCUUGUACUCACCGCCCGUCA